rnacentral:rRNA from 1 species
GUCCUAGUUACCAGCACGUUAUGUGGGCACUCUAAGGAGACUGCCGGUGACAAACCGAGGAAGUGGGGAUGACGUCAAGUCAUCAUGGCCCUUACGGCCUGGGCUACACACGUGCUACAAUGGUCGGUACAAAGGGUUGCCAAGCCGCGAGGUGGAGCUAAUCCCAUAAAACCGAUCGUAGUCCGGAUCGCAGUCUGCAACUCGACUGCGUGAAGUCGGAAUCGCUAGUAAUCGUGAAUCAGAAUGUCACGGUGAAUACGUUCCCGGGCCUU